GAUUAAUGAUUAUACAGAUUCAGCACAGGGUCAGUGAUUAAUGAUUAUACAGCUUCAGCACAGGGUCAGUGAUUAAUGAUUAUACAAAUUCAGCACAUGGUCAGUGAUUACGAAUCUUCAGCACAGGGUCAGUGAUUACGAAUCUUCAGCACAGGAUUAGAACUUAUGAAGCUUCAGCACAGUGUCAGUGAUUAAUGAUAACACAGCUUCAGCACAGUGUCAGUGAUUAUGAAGCUUUAGCACAGUGUCAAUGAUCAUGAAGCUUCAGCACAGAGAAUACUCUUCAGGUGACACACUUAUUUGAGUGCACGUAUUCAAUACUCCACAGCAGUAAAAACACACAACACAGCC